rnacentral:rRNA from 1 species
CCUACGGGAGGCAGCAGUGGGGAAUAUUGGACAAUGGGGGCAACCCUGAUCCAGCCAUGCCGCGUGUGUGAAGAAGGCCCUCGGGUUGUAAAGCACUUUCAGUGAGGAAGAACGCCUGGUGGUUAAUACCCAUCAGGAAAGACAUCACUCACAGAAGAAGCACCGGCUAACUCCGUGCCAGCAGCCGCGGUAAUACGGAGGGUGCGAGCGUUAAUCGGAAUUACUGGGCGUAAAGCGCGCGUAGGUGGCUUGAUAAGCCGGUUGUGAAAGCCCCGGGCUCAACCUGGGAACGGCAUCCGGAACUGGCAAGCUAGAGUGCAGGAGAGGAAGGUAGAAUUCCCGGUGUAGCGGUGAAAGGCGUAGAGAUCGGGAGGAAUACCAGUGGCGAAGGCGGCCUUCUGGACUGACACUGACACUGAGGUGCGAAAGCGUGGGUAGCAAACAGGAUUAGAUACCCGUGUAGUC